CAGUAGCCGCGGGAAUACGUAGGUGGCAAGCGUUGUCCGGAAUUAUUGGGCGUAAAGCGCGCGCAGGCGGAUAGGUCAGUCUGUCUUAAAAGUUCGGGGCUUAACCCCGUGAUGGGAUGGAAACUGCCAAUCUAGAGUAUCGGAGAGGAAAGUGGAAUUCCUAGUGUAGCGGUGAAAUGCGUAGAUAUUAGGAAGAACACCAGUGGCGAAGGCGACUUUCUGGACGAAGACUGACGCUGAGGCGCGAAAGCCAGGGGAGCGAACGGGAUUAGAUACCCCCGUAGUCCCUGUCUCUUAUACA
rnacentral:rRNA from 1 species